UUGCAACAUCUUCUGGCAAGGAGUUCCACAGGUUGACUGUGCAUUGUGCGAAGAAAUACUUCCUUUUGUUUGUUUUUAAACCUGCUGCCUAUUAAACCCACUGCCCAUGGGACCAGCACUUAAAGGAUGCUUAUGCUUCUUGCGAAAGCCAAUUACAGACAGACCACAGAACACUCCAGUCUCUGUGGUUAUGAGAUAUCUAGAUGCCUCAGAAAUAGGAUGUGAAUCUGUAAGCUUUGUUUCUUGGAAGGAGCUGCGUUCAUCAGCACACUUUGAUCAACACUUGAUUGCGCAACAAAAGAUGAAGGAAGAAUGAGUGAGGGGUGCUGUGUCUUCAGCCAUGCAUAUUUCUCUGCUGAAUCAAUUCUGACACACCUACACAGAGCUGUGAUUUGCCUUCAGUAACUAUUUAUGCCUGAAACAGAAACAAGAAGGAAGGUACAGU